CUGAGAUCUGGUGCCCACUCAGAGACGGUGUAGCUGUCCUCUAUACAGACCCUGGGUGAGACUAUUUAUGCCUCCCUGUCCUGCUGUGCACCACUUGGAGACCUCACAAGAAAGAAAAGGCACCUGUGGAAAUAGAAUAUGAUUGAGGUAUCUUGGGAUAUUUCACCACAACAGCAAGAGCUGCUGGAUUUUCCUGAGGAAGCAACAGAUCCUCUGCAGGGCAGGGAGAUUCUGAUGUGUCUCCAUAUAGAACAGCUCGAAAGAGCCAAUGUUCUUGAAAAUUACAGCUCUUAACUCUAUUUUGUCCUCUCACAUGGUGGUUUGGGGGCAGGAGCUACAAAUAUUUUAUGCUGCUGGAAUGGGAGGAAAGAUCACAAGGUGAUCAGCUACAUUCAGAAACUGCCCAGGCUGUUUCUUUAUGCCUUGGAGAAGGAUACUGGGAGAGCAUAAUUUUCUAAUUUUACAUCCCACAUGACAAGAAGAUGACCCUUCUGCAAAGAAACGGGACAAAAAAAUUUGAGCACUAUUAUCUGUGUUUGCCUCAGCAGCUUUGUAUCUCAACAUCAGCUGUGUCUGGGGAACAUGGGCAG
rnacentral:lncRNA from 1 species